GUAACCGAAGGGUCCGUCCGUCUGUCAGUGUACAAACCGAUAAAAAGAAGCUCGACAGAAGCCCAUCGCUCCAUCUCUUCGCAUCCCUUCCCUGUAUCAUGGCAGCAGCCAGGGCGGCGCGACGUCGUCAAUCAGCACUCAAUCACCACCGGGCGGUGACCGGCAACCCACAGCAGAUCCGUUGCAGGAUCGCACCACCUCCGGUCGACAAGGAUUGAGCUCCGCGGAUCCAGGCGCACCGGCCAGAUCCGUCGCCGAGGCGACGACCUCCACCACCGCCCCACUAACCUGCAUCCUCGACGCGCCCAACCCCGGCCACCUCGACGACUCCACCUCCUCAAGGACGACCUGCACCACCGUCCUACCACCCCAGAAUUGACGCUGCCGCCGCCUCUCGGCGACUUCCCCUACCGGCACUAAAUUUCGCCUUUAAACAGUGGAGCGGCGCCGCCCCCAUCGCCUCCAACAUCAGGUCGGUGUCUGCUCCUUUACUCUGAAAUCGUGCCAUGCUGGCCAGAUCUAUUCUCUUUGUGCUGAAGUUGGCUGGGGACUUUUCACGUGGCAAGUUUCGUUGGCUGUACUAUCAAAGAUAGAAUGAGUGGAUUUGGUGUCAUACCAGUCAUGUUUCGACACUGUACUGACAAAGUUUGAGUUUAUAUUGCCAUCUCAACAAUACAUGGAUAACAUAUUAAAGCCAUCGCGCCACCCGCCGGAUUGCUGUGGAAACUCCUGUUAGGCAUCCUCUCCUGAAUCUGCAUAGUAUUUGCAAAUUACUCCUGUUAGAUGUGAACGCACAGCUGGAGUGGAGACGACAAAUGGAAGAAUCACAGAGUGAAGGAAAACUGAGAGCACUAUGAUGUUCACUGAACUUCAGAUGACCGUUUUAUUAAAAGAAAAUUUUCGUUUAUUGCAACCAGGGCAGCGCUACAGAGGUACAAGCUUAGUACUAAACUGUUGUUAUGCAUCUGCAUGAUUGUAUAUGUAUCUCUUAAUGUAUGAGGAAGCUCUUCGAUCUAAAAAUGGCUUCAGAGGGUACUUCCAGCAUUUUGAAAUAUUCCACAGGAUAUAUGAAGACAAGCCUAUCCUAGCCAAUCGAUUCUCCGUAAUAAUUUACACUUGCUUUCAUGACUAUCUUCACUUGUGGCCUUCCGCAUCGUUCAACAUUUAAUUUUGAUCUCUGAUGCUUGCACGAGAUGCAAAAUUCUAGGAGCACAGCAUGGAUUUCAAAUUGCUUUUCAGAUGCAUGGGACCGUGUCCAUGACAUCAUAUGUCACAGGGCAACAAACAGCACAAGACAUCUUAUGAGUGGACAUUCGUGAUGGCGUCUUAAGAGACUAGCGAUGUCUGUGUUACCUGCUUCCCUCUGCGAUGAUCCCAUCCAGCAGGCAGGCGGGACUAGCAUGGACCGGGCGAGUGGCAGCGGCGACCGGGAAGGCUGGGUGAUCAACUCAGUUGAGCUAGGAUACAAUUAGAUAGCCACAGCCCACAGGGACAAUUUAGUCCUUUCACGAGCCUACUUAUGUGAGAAGAAAAAAAAUGAAUAAAAGAGGUGCUAAUGGCAUAGUAAUCAAGGUGUCAACGAUCUAAGUGGCCAUUUUAUGGAGUCAAUAUGCAAAGUGGCAAUUUCUCAAAGCCACAUGAAGGAGGUGCCAAAAAUCCAAAUACUACAACUUCAUACAGUCUAGGCCCUUGGCACUUUCUGCUAAGAGAAAAUAUUAGCAACAAUCAGUUUGCAUAAUAUUGAUGUGCUCAUUUAUCAUGGAUGGUUAUCAAAUGCAUUUCACAGAGGUUAAUGUGCCUGGAAGUAUGUAAUAAAGUUAGCUUAUGUGUGAUCACUUACCAAAUUUUAGCUUAUGUGUGAUCACUCUUACCAAAUUUCUGGUAAAAUAUCUAAUGGAACGCAUAAUAUUA